rnacentral:rRNA from 1 species
CUAGUUGGUGAGGUAAAGGCUUACCAAGGCGACGAUCAGUAGCUGGUCUGAGAGGACGACCACCCACACUGGGACUGAGACACGGCCCAGACUCCUACGGGAGGCAGCAGUGGGGAAUUUUGGACAAUGGGGGAAACCCUGAUCCAGCCAUGCCGCGUGAGUGAAGAAGGCCUUCGGGUUGUAAAGCUCUUUCAGCCGGAACGAAACGGUCACGGCUAAUACCUGUGACUACUGACGGUACCGGAAGAAGAAGCACCGGCUAACUACGUGCCAGCAGCCGCGGUAAUUCUUAGGGUGCGAGCGUUAAUCGGAAUUACUGGGCGUAAAGCGUGCGCAGGCGGUUUUGUAAGUCAGAUGUGAAAUCCCCGGGCUUAACCUGGGAACUGCGUUUGAAACUACAAGGCUAGAAGGG